CUCCCGCCGGCGACCGGCGCACGGGUGAGUAACACGUAUGAAACCUGCCCGUAGCAGGGGGAUAAGCGGAAGAAAUUCCGUCUAAUACCGCGUAACAACCCGAGGAGGCAUCUCCUCGGGUUUAAAGGAAGCGAUUCCGGCUACGGAUGGUCAUGCGUCGCAUUAGCUAGUUGGCGGGUAACGCCCACCAAGGCGACGAUGCGUAGGGGUUCUGAGAGGAAGGUCCCCCACACUGGUACUGAGACACGGACCAGACUCCUACGGAAGGCAGCAG
rnacentral:rRNA from 1 species